rnacentral:rRNA from 1 species
GAUGAACGCUGGCGGCGUGCCUAAUACAUGCAAGUCGAGCGAACGGACGAGAAGCUUGCUUCUCUGAUGUUAGCGGCGGACGGGUGAGUAACACGUGGAUAACCUACCUAUAAGACUGGGAUAACUUCGGGAAACCGGAGCUAAUACCGGAUGAUAUUUUGAACCGCAUGGUUCAAAAGUGAAAGACGGUCUUGCUGUCACUUAUAGAUGGAUCCGCGCUGCAUUAGCUAGUUGGUAAGGUAACGGCUUACCAAGGCAACGAUGCAUAGCCGACCUGAGAGGGUGAUCGGCCACACUGGGAGUGAGACACGGUCCAGACGCCUACGGGAGGCAGCAGUAGGGAAUCUUCCGCAAUGGGCGAAAGCCUGACGGAGCAGCGCCGCGUGAGUGAUGAAGGUCUUCGGAUCGUAAAACUCUGUUAUUAGGGAAGAACAUAUGUGUAAGUAACUGUGCACAUCUUGACGGUACCUAAUCAGAAAGCCACGGCUAACUACGUG